rnacentral:rRNA from 1 species
AGCAGCCGCGGUAAUUCCAGCUCCAAUAGCGUAUAUUAAAGUUGUUGCAGUUAAAAAGCUCGUAGUUGAACUUCGGGGUUCAUUCCACUGGUCAGGCUUACCUGUCUGUACUGGUGAGAUGAGUCUCUACCUUCUGAGGAACCUUCAUGCCAUUCAUUUGGUGUGAUGGGGAAUCAGGACUGUUACUUUGAAAAAAUUAGUGUGUUUUAAGGCAGGCUUUUGUCUGAAUAGGUUAGCAUGGAAUAACGUAAUAGGACGGAUGGUCCUAUUUCGUUGGUUUCUAGGAUCACCGUAAUGAUUAAUAGGGAUAGUUGGGGGUGAGUUCAUUCUAUUUUGUUGAUUUCUAGGAUCGAUGUA